CCUACGGGGGGCAGCAGUGAGGAAUAUUGGUCAAUGGGCGCGAGCCUGAACCAGCCAAGUCGCGUGAAGGAUGAAUGCCCUACGGGUUGUAAACUUCUUUUAUAAAGGAAUAAAGUGCGGCACGUGUUCCUUUUUGUAUGUACUAUAUGAAUAAGGAUCGGCUAACUCCGUGCCAGCAGCCGCGGUAAUACGGAGGAUCCGAGCGUUAUCCGGAUUUAUUGGGUUUAAAGGGUGCGUAGAUGGGUUGUUAAGUCAGUUGUGAAAGUUUGUGGCUCAACCGUAAAAUUGCAGUUGAUACUGGCAGCCUUGAGUACAGUUGAGGUAGGCGGAAUGCGUGGUGUAGCGGUGAAAUGCUUAGAUAUCACGAAGAACUCCGAUUGCGAAGGCAGCUUACUAAAAUGCCACUGACAUUGAUGCUCGAAAGUGUGGGUAUCAAACAGGAUUAGAUACCCUUGUAGUC
rnacentral:rRNA from 1 species